rnacentral:rRNA from 1 species
UACGGGGGGUGCAAGCGUUGUUCGGAAUUAUUGGGCGUAAAGAGCGUGUAGGCGGCCGGAUAUGUCAGAUGUGAAAGCCCCGGGCUUAACCCGGGAAGUGCAUUUGAAACUGUCCGGCUCGAGUAGGGGAGAGGGAAGUGGAAUUCCUGGUGUAGAGGUGAAAUUCGUAGAUAUCAGGAGGAACACCGGUGGCGAAGGCGACUUCCUGGCCCUAUACUGACGCUGGGACGCGAGAGCGUGGGUAGCAAACAGGAUUAGAUACCCCUGUAGUCCCUGAGCGGGCU